UUUUUUGCAGGUGGAGCAUCAUCAAGAUUCACAUAGCUAUAUUAGGGCUUUUAUAAUUUUUAAAAGCCCUAUGACGAUGUGUGGGAAUCUUGAUGAUGCUGCAGCGGCAAAUAA
rfam:Solanum tuberosum cultivar DM 1-3 516 R44 scf00202_22, whole genome shotgun sequence.